CUGUAAUGAAGCUGACAGAAGACCUCCAUUUGCAUUAAGAAUACAUAAGCAGCCUGGGUUAUCACCAGAACAUCCAGUUUGAAGGUUCUCCAUGGUCUUCAGCCACCACAAACAGUCUGAACUCAUCACCUUCUCCUUCUGCUAAGGGACGUGUCACUCUUAUUUCUCCGAAAUGAUCCUUAGCAAUCUUGAAUUAAUCUCACUGAUAUCCAGACCAAGAUCCUGUGCAAUUCUUCCAACAAAGGUUCCGUGUUUGGAUUCUUCAGGGAUGCUGUAAUGAAGCUGACAGAGGACCUGAUUCCAAGCCAUUAGCAAUAAGGAAAAAUAAACAGCCUGGAUUAUCACCAGAAUAUUUCUUCUAAAAGUAGGCAUUUCCUGUAUUUUGAAGAUGUUUCAUAUAUUUCAACAAGCAUCCAACAACAGUCUUGUUUUAUGAAAUGAUUAAAAAAGAAAGCAUCUACGAUUUUCAACAAGACUAGCAGCAAUAUGGCUGAUUCACGUGAAAAAAAUCCAAUUGGAUGGCUUUUCAGAGAUAAGGAAGGUUAAUACUGACAUCUUGUGUUGGAAUGUGAUUGUGCAUAAAAUUCUUUCCUUCUUAAAUUAUUUUCUCAUAAGAAAAUGUGCGAUAGUAGUUAUUACAGUUAUUAUUUAUACUAAAUAACACCAAUAAUAAAAAGUUCUGCAUUAUUAAAAUGUGUUAAUAUCUCUGUAGAAUAUCAUCUAUAGAUAUUGGUUUAGUUCGCUAUUAGGUUUAUAUGCAUUUAAACCUGCAGUUAUUGUCUCAUUUUAACACCAAAAAUGUAUUUUGCCAGAAGUUAUUCCGUAAGAAUAGUAUUUUAUUUCAAAAUUAGAUAGGAUGAAAUUACACUUCUUGUUCUCAAGAUGCUGCAUAGAAGCACUCCCCACUUCUAGUGCACAAUUUAAAUGGAUGUGGAUUUAUAUUUAGAAACUUUUAAAAUUUACAAGAAAAGUGUUAUCAAAAUUGAAUUGGGUAUUUUACAUGCAUGCAACAAUACACAGAUAACUAGAGGGUAAAUAACGUAGUCUUACUUACUUUCCAUAAUACAGAAAGCAAAAUGCAAAAAUGUGUCUUCUACAUAGUGAGUGUGCCAUUAUGCUGUUCCAUAUUAAACUGAACUUAGGUGAAAACCUUUAUUUAUAAAUAAUCUUUUUCAUUUUUGCUGUAAAGGGCAAAUUACAUGAUACUCUGGUUCCAUAUGAAACUAUAAAACUGCAACAAUA